rnacentral:rRNA from 1 species
UAGGGAAUCUUGCGCAAUGGGCGAAAGCCUGACGCAGCGACGCCGCGUGAGGGAUGACGGCCUUCGGGUUGUAAACCUCUUUCAGCAGGGACGAAGCCUCACGGUGACGGUACCUGCAGAAGAAGCCCCGGCCAACUACGUGCCAGCAGCCGCGGUAAUACGUAGGGGGCAAGCGUUGUCCGGAUUUAUUGGGCGUAAAGAGCUCGUAGGCGGCCGUCCACGUCGGGUGUGAAAGCUCGGGGCUCAACCCCGAGAUGCCAUUCGAUACGGGACGGCUAGAGGCAGGUAGGGGAGAUUGGAAUUCCUGGUGUAGCGGUGAAAUGCGCAGAUAUCAGGAGGAACACCGGUGGCGAAGGCGGAUCUCUGGGCCUUGCCUGACGCUGAGGAGCGAAAGCUGGGGGAGCGAACAG